rnacentral:rRNA from 1 species
CAGUAGCCGCGGGAAUACGUAGGGUGCAAGCGUUAAUCGGAAUUACUGGGCGUAAAGCGUGCGCAGGCGGUUUGUUAAGACAGAUGUGAAAUCCCCGGGCUCAACCUGGGAACUGCAUUUGUGACUGGCAAGCUAGAGUGUGGCAGAGGGGGGUGGAAUUCCGCGUGUAGCAGUGAAAUGCGUAGAUAUGCGGAGGAACACCGAUGGCGAAGGCAGCCCCCUGGGCCAACACUGACGCUCAUGCACGAAAGCGUGGGGAGCAAACAGGAUUAGAUACCCCCGUAGUCCCUGUCUCUUAUAC